UACAGAGUGAUUUUGACUGUCUUCUUCCCUGGGGUGUGCGGGUGUGCUGAGGCUGCUGAUUCUUUGCAAGAGUGUGGUACACGGCUGGGUCGUGGUCUGGGGAGCUGCCGGUGUAGAGCCACCGCUACUUAGUAGAGUUACCAGAGGCCCAAGCAGUGAGGCUACAACCGACCAGCCUGUGACCAACAGCAGACCCGUUCCUGUUGUGUUUGGCUUCGCCCACACAGGAAGACGAAGUUGAGCACACCCAGCCACGACGAACUGCAGAAGAGGAUACUGCGGUUCCUUCAGUCCAAGCUCAUCUUGAUUCUUCAGAGAUGCCCAUUCUGCCCUGCUUUGCUCCACAGACUACAACAGUUGAAUCUUGGCAUUGGACCCCUACACCUGUCCAUCAACCAGGUCAAAAGGUGUUUUGUGUGGCCGUGGCGCUACGCUCACUGUCUCUCUCGCCACCUGAUCACCUGCACACCGGCCUGAUUACUUACCCAUCUGCAAUCCAUCAGCCCAGCAGUAUAUCAACCCUGGUUAUUCAU